rnacentral:rRNA from 1 species
GUGGGGAAUAUUGGGCAAUGGGCGAAAGCCUGACCCAGCAACGCCGCGUGAGGGAAGAAGGCCUUCGGGUUGUAAACCUCUGUCCUUGGUGACGAAGAAAGUGACGGUAGCCAAGGAGGAAGCCCCGGCUAACUACGUGCCAGCAGCCGCGGUAAUACGUAGGGGGCGAGCGUUGUCCGGAAUUACUGGGCGUAAAGGGUGCGUAGGUGGCCUUUUAAGUUGGAUGGGAAAUACCCGGGCUUAACUUGGGGGGUGCAUCUAAUACUGGGAGGCUAGAGUGCAGGAGAGGGAAGCGGAAUUCCUAGUGUAGCGGUGAAAUGCGUAGAUAUUAGGAGGAACACCAGUGGCGAAGGCGGCUUUCUGGACUGUAACUGACACUGAGGCACGAAAGCGUGGGGAGCAAACAGGAUUAGAAACCCUUGUAGUCC